rfam:Danio rerio chromosome 4, GRCz11 reference primary assembly.
GCCCUGCUAGCUCAGUCGGUAGAGCAUGAGACUCUUAAUGUCAGGGUGGUGGGUUCGAGCCCCACGUUCGGCG